AACGAACGCUGGCGGCAUGCCUAACACAUGCAAGUCGAACGAGACCUUCGGGUCUAGUGGCGCACGGGUGCGUAACGCGUGGGAACCUGCCCUUAGGUUCGGAAUAACUCCCCGAAAGGGGUGCUAAUACCGGAUAAUGUCUUCGGACCAAAGAUUUAGCGCCUUUGGAUGGGCCCGCGUUGGAUUAGCUAGUUGGUAGGGUAAAAGCCUACCAAGGCGACGAUCCAUAGCUGGUCUGAGAGGAUGAUCAGCCACACUGGGACUGAGACACGGCCCAGACUCCUACGGGAGGCAGCAGUGGGUAAUAUUGGACAAUGGGCGAAAGCCUGAUCCAGCAAUGCCGCGUGAGUGAUGAAGGCCUUAGGGUUGUAAAGCUCUUUUACCCGGGAUGAUAAUGACAGUACCGGGAGAAUAAGCUCCGGCUAACUCCGUG
rnacentral:rRNA from 1 species